GGGUGCGUAGCUCAGUGGGAGAGCACUGCCUUCACACGGCAGGGGUCGCUGGUUCAAUCCCAGCCGCACCCA
rnacentral:tRNA from 1 species